rnacentral:rRNA from 1 species
UACGUAGGGUGCGAGCGUUAAUCGGAAUUACUGGGCGUAAAGCGUGCGCAGGCGGUUUUGCAAGCCGGAUGUGAAAUCCCCGGGCUUAACCUGGGAAUGGCAUUUGGGACUGCAAGGCUGGAGUGCGGCAGAGGAGACUGGAAUUCCUGGUGUAGCAGUGAAAUGCGUAGAUAUCAGGAGGAACACCGAUGGCGAAGGCGGAUCUCUGGGCCAUUACUGACGCUGAGGAGCGAAAGCGUGGGGAGCGAACAGG